GGUAUGUGGGUGGAGCUUCUUUAGCUGUUCUGAUAUUUGCUUUGUGUUGCUUGCAGUUUUUCCCCCUUUUUAGAGGUUCUCGUUUUCGUUUUCAUUCAGAAGAACGAUGAUUUGAUGCAACGAUGUGAUAAAUUUGAAGUAUUCCAGGUGUAGUAGGAGGUUGAAGACAUUCCCCAAGCCCAUAUCAUUAGUGGUUGCUCCUGUCACCAUGAGGCAGAGAAAUUGCAACAGAAGAAACCACUGAUGAAGUGUGGUGCCUCGGAUGAUGCUGCUUCGGCACGGUCCAUGAAUUUUUGCUUUGACUGCAGCAUCUGUUUGGAAUUUGCCGUUGAUCCAGUGGUCACACUGU